UGGGGGAUAUUGGACAAUGGGGGCAACCCUGAUCCAGCCAUGCCGCGUGCGUGAAGAAGGCCUUAGGGUUGUAAAGCGCUUUCAGCGGGGACGAUGAUGACGGUACCCGCAGAAGAAGCCCCGGCUAACUCCGUGCCAGCAGCCGCGGUAAUACGGAGGGGGCAAGCGUUGCUCGGAAUGACUGGGCGUAAAGCGCGCGCAGGUGGCCCGUUAAGUUGGCUGUGAAAUCCCCUGGCUCAACCAGGGAAGUGCAGUCGAUACUGGCGGGCUCGAGUCCCGGAGAGGGUGGUAGAAUUCCCAGUGUAGAGGUGAAAUUCGUAGAUAUUGGGAGGAAUACCGGUGGCGAAGGCGACCGCCUGGACGGGUACUGACACUGAGGCGCGAAAGCGUGGGGAGCAAACAGGAUUAGAUACCCCCGUAGUCC
rnacentral:rRNA from 1 species